CGCAACCCCAGCCCUACUUCUUUCACCGAACAGGCAUCCUCUCCUUCGUUCUCACAGAACAAACAGAGCCAGAAAGAGAGAGGCGAGGCUCUCUAGGUUUCCGCUGCCGCCGCCGUCGCCGGCCAAGUCGCUGGCCCCGUCGCCACCAUGGCGUGCGGAUCCGGGCCCCUCCGCCCCCCACCAAAGUUCAUCCGCUGCGCCGCCGUCCCCUAGUUCCCCUAAUCUCCGCCUGCACACUGCCCCUGGUCCCUGCCUGCGCCGCCGGCUGAAGCUCUCCGUGCCCCGCGUCCGAGCUCCUGCUGCACCGCACAAGACGUCCACCUUGGUCCCCGGACUCCAACUCCGUCCGCCCGACUGCAGCGCGCCGCCCCAUCCCCGACCUGCGUCAGGACAAUAUGUCGAAAGCCAAUUGGAAUUCACAAAUGACCGCCGUAUUUUGCAAACUCGCUGCCAUUGAGAAGUUAAAAGGGAAUAGGCCUCUCAAAUACUUGAAUGCUGCUGGAUACAAGAAUGUAGAAGUUGGUUUCUUAGAGCAGACCGGGAAACAUUACAGUAGGUUACAGUUAAAAAAUAAAUGGGGCAGUUUGAGAACUUUGCAUAGGGAUUGGUUGAUCCUUAAGAACACAGUAACUGGCCUUGGUUGGAAUGAUGUAACGAACUCCGUGAUAGCUGAUGAUGAAUGGUGGAAAAAAGCCGGUGAAGAGAAGGACUUCUUGCAGUUUCGUAAAUGUGGUCCUGAAAAUGGAGCAAAUGAGUAUCAUGUAUGAGAAUAUCAAUGUUACCGGGGAAAGUUCUAUGAUGCCAGGUUGUGAGCAUGAAGUGCUUGAUCUCGAGGAGGAUGAAAUCGAGGAGGAAGAAUUGCAGACUACCCUAGCCAAGAAGGAAAAGAAGCGGCCAGGGUAGAUAGAUGGAAGCUCUAGUAAGGAAUCCUGUUCAAAGGGACUUCAAGCGUAUGGUUGACCACUUGAUUAGUGAAGAUGCCGCAAUGAACUCACAUAAGCAUAGUGUUGCUACUGAAAUUGAAAAGAUAAUGGAAGAAGUUGUGGCAUGUGGAGCAGAUGAAGAAAGUAAUGAGUACUUCAUAGCAAUCAAGUUGUUUGCGAAGUUUGAAAAUCGUUGUUUGUUUAACAAUAUGAUGGCCAGGUGGUACCUCGGAAGGACACCUUUCGGUAUUUGGGGUCAAUGUUGCAGGAGGAUGGGGGUAUUGAUGAAGAUGUGAAUCAUCGAAUCAAAGCCGGAUGGAUG